rnacentral:rRNA from 1 species
GACGAACGCUGGCGGCGUGCCUAAUACAUGCAAGUCGAGCGCAUAGAAGGGAGCUUGCUCCCUGAAGUGAGCGGCGGAUGGGUGAGUAACACGUGGGUAACCUGCCUGUCAGAUCGGGAUAACUGUGGGAAACCGCAGCUAAUACCGGAUAAUCCUUCGCACCGCAUGGUGCGGAGUUGAAAGAUGGUUUCGGCCAUCACUGACAGAUGGGCCCGCGGUGCAUUAGUUAGUUGGCGGGGUAACGGCCCACCAAGACUGCGAUGCAUAGCCGACCUGAGAGGGUGAUCGGCCACAUUGGGACUGAGACACGGCCCAAACUCCUACGGGAGGCAGCAGUAGGGAAUCUUCCACAAUGGACGAAAGUCUGAUGGAGCAACGCCGCGUGAGCGAAGAAGGUUUUCGGAUCGUAAAGCUCUGUUGCUGGAGAAGAACGAGUGCGAGAGGAAAUGCUCGUACUGUGACGGUAUCCAGCCAGAAAGCCACGGCUAACUACGUGCCAGCAGCCGCGGUAAUACGUAGGUGGCAAGCGUUGUCCGGAAUUAUUGGGCGUAAAGCGCGCGCAGCGGCUUCUUAAGUCUGAUGUGAAAUCUUGCGGCUCAACCGCAAACGGUCAUUGGAAACUGGGAAGCUUGAGUGCAGAAGAGGAGAGUAGAAUUCCACGUGUAGCGGUGAAAUGCGUAGAUAUGUGGAGGAAUACCAGUGGCGAAGGCGGCUCUCUGGUCUGUAACUGACGCUGAGGCGCGAAAGCGUGGGGAGCAAACAGGAUUAGAUACCCUGGUAGUCCACGCCGUAAACGAUGAAUGCUAGGUGUUAGGGGGGUCCAACCCCUUAGUGCUGAAGUUAACACAUUAAGCAUUCCGCCUGGGGAGUACGACCGCAAGGUUGAAACUCAAAGGAAUUGACGGGGGCCCGCACAAGCAGUGGAGCAUGUGGUUUAAUUCGAAGCAACGCGAAGAACCUUACCAGGUCUUGACAUCCUCUGACAAGCCUAGAGAUAGGCCGUUCCCCUUCGGGGGACAGAGUGACAGGUGGUGCAUGGUUGUCGUCAGCUCGUGUCGUGAGAUGUUGGGUUGAGUCCCGCAACGAGCGCAACCCUUGAUCUUAGUUGCCAGCAUUCAGUUGGGCACUCUAAGGUGACUGCCGGUGACAAACCGGAGGAAGGUGGGGAUGACGUCAAAUCAUCAUGCCCCUUAUGAUCUGGGCUACACACGUGCUACAAUGGGUGGUACAAAGGGCAGCGAAACCGCGAGGUCGAGCUAAUCCCAUAAAGCCACCCCCAGUUCGGAUUGCAGGCUGCAACUCGCCUGCAUGAAGCCGGAAUUGCUAGUAAUCGCGGAUCAGCAUGCCGCGGUGAAUCCGUUCCCGGGCCU